UUCCUGGUGGUCCAGUGGGUAAGACUCUGUGCUUUCGAAGCAGGGGGCCCAGGUUCGAUCCCUGGUCGGGGAA